rnacentral:rRNA from 1 species
CCCUUAGAUGUCCUGGGCCGCACGCGUGCUACACUGAUGCAUACAGCGAGUACUUUCCAGCUCCGCGAGGCAGCUGGUAAUCAGCAAUAUGCAUCGUGCUGGGGAUAGAUCUUUGGAAUUAUAGAUCUUGAACGAGGAAUUCCUAGUAAGCGCAAGUCAUUAGCUUGCGCUGAUUAAGUCCCUGCCCUUUGUACACACCGCCCGUCGCUCCUACCGAUUUCGAGCGAUUCGGUGAACCUUUUGGACAGCGUCUGUCCUCGUGUCAGAUGCUGAAAGUCAAGUAAACCAUAUCACUUAGAGGAAGGAGAAGUCGUAACA